rnacentral:lncRNA from 1 species
GAGUUCCCCUCAUGGCUCAGUGGAAACGAAUCUGACCAGCAUCCAUGAAGAUACAGGUUCGAUCCCUAGCCUCACUCAGGGGGUUGAGGAUCCAGCGUUGCCGUGAGCUGUGGUGUAGGUCACAUUCAUGGUUCAGAUCUGGCGUUGCUGUGGCUGGGGUGUAGGCCAGUGGCUACAGCUCCGAUUUGACCCCUAGCCUGAGAACCUCCAUAUGCUGCAGGUGCAGCCCUAAAAAGACCCAAAAAAAAAAUUUGUUGUUGUUUCACUUUCAUCUUUAGGUACUUAAUUUUAAAACUUUCAUUUAAAAAAAUUUGUUUAAUCUGCCUGAAACACUGUCCAGAAAACAGAAAGAUAUUUUUUGUCAGCACCUGAACAACUAACUUCACAUAGAAAGUGUCCAAUAAGUUAUACACUGCAUCAUGAAUGCUUUAUAGAAAAAUAGAUGGAAGCUUUAAGUGAAAGAGGAAAAAAACCAGAAAGCAAUGCCAAACCCUCAACCUCAGCCAUGGAUGCUCUGAGAUGCCCAGGUGCGCACAGCGUCCCAGGGGCCCUCCCCGCCCAGCGCUCUCGCACCUUCACCGCGGUUUCCUUCACCACGAAGUCCGAGACAUCCCACCAGGGUCGCCGUAACUGCUUUCCACUGAACCUCAAAUACAUCUGCACCUUCCCUCCUGCUCAGCUCCUCCUUUCCCUGCGCAAAGCCCAGGCCUCGCUCCUGAAGCUUCUAUAGCCAAGCUCCCGAUCCCAGCCGCUGUCUCUGCCCAACAGGGUCUAAAGGGUUCAGAGACAGCAACGGCCCAUGAAGAUGCCUGAGCGCGGAGCUCCCGCGCGGCUUGCCCAGGUCCACCACCUAGCGGUGCCCGCGGGGGUCAAUCAGCGUGGUCCUCCUGGACCCACCUGAGGGAUGAUGGCUCAGUGACCACAUCAUGACAUGGGAGCUGAAAUGCCAAAGUCCGGGGGAGCAGAGGCAAGCAGAUUAGCCUGGUGCCUUCAGGGACCCGCAGCAAGCCUCCUAGUCCCGCCAAGGUGACCGAAGACUCCCUCCCAUCAACUCCUCAGCAGCUCUGGGCACCUGGUAAAAAAUAAAGCUGCCUGGGGCCCCGCGCCCAGAGACGGAGGCGAGGGCUCUGGGCUGUGGCCGAUUGUGAAAAGCGCCCCAGGUCAGGCCCUAAAGGGCAGCCCGGGCUCAGAGAGGCAGGGACGCGUCUGUCCCUGACUCAGGGACAUUCCCCCAGACUGCUACAAAUUUCUCAGCCUCACCUCCCAAGGACCUGCCUUCCUACAACUGACCUACCUGAAAAGACAGGCUCUGGUGAAGAUGCCGGUCAAGCGGCCGUGCGAGGUCCCCUUCCCCGUCC